rnacentral:rRNA from 1 species
CCUACGGGGCGCAGCAGUGGGGAAUAUUGGACAAUGGGCGAAAGCCUGAUCCAGCCAUGCCGCGUGUGUGAAGAAGGCCUUCGGGUUGUAAAGCACUUUCAGUGGGGAAGAAAGCCUUGGGGCUAAUACCCUCGAGGAAGGACAUCACCCACAGAAGAAGCACCGGCUAACUCCGUGCCAGCAGCCGCGGUAAUACGGAGGGUGCGAGCGUUAAUCGGAAUUACUGGGCGUAAAGCGCGCGUAGGCGGUCUGAUAAGCCGGUUGUGAAAGCCCCGGGCUCAACCUGGGAACGGCAUCCGGAACGGUCAGGCUAGAGUGCAGGAGAGGAAGGUAGAAUUCCCGGUGUAGCGGUGAAAUGCGUAGAGAUCGGGAGGAAUACCAGUGGCGAAGGCGGCCUUCUGGACUGACACUGACGCUGAGGUGCGAAAGCGUGGGUAGCAAACAGGAUUAGAUACCCGUGUAGUC